rnacentral:snRNA from 1 species
UUUCUUAUUUCAACAUUAAUCUUAAUAAAAUUAUUAAAUCUGUUCUUAUCACUUUAAUAUCUGAUACGUCCUCUAUCUGAGGACUAUACAUUAAAUGGGUUUUUGGAACAGGGAGAUGGAAUAGGAGCUUGUUCCAUCCACUCCACGCAUCGACCUGGUAUUGCAGUACCUCCAGGAACGGUGCACCUCCC